CUCUACGGUGGAACGGGAGGGGGACACCUUCGGGUGUGCUGGCUCUAUGACCAGUCCGUCAACCCUCUUUCGUUCUGCCACCCUA
rnacentral:antisense_RNA from 1 species